rnacentral:rRNA from 1 species
UACAGAGGUCUCAAGCGUUGUUCGGAAUCACUGGGCGUAAAGGGUGCGUAGGCGGACCGCCAAGUCAGAUGUGAAAGACCGGGGCUCAACCCCGGAACGGCAUCCGAUACUGGCGAUCUAGAGGGCUCGAGGGGAGUGUGGAAUUCACGGUGUAGCAGUGAAAUGCGUAGAUAUCGUGAGGAACACCAGUGGCGAAGGCGACACUCUGGAGAGCAACUGACGCUGAGGCACGAAGGCCAGGGGAGCGAACGGG